UACGAAGGGGGGCGAGCGUUGUUCGGAUUUACUGGGCGUAAAGGGCGCGUAGGCGGCCCGUUUUGUCAGGCGUGAAAGCCCUGGGCUCAACCUGGGAAUGGCGCUUGGGGACGGAUGGGGCUAGAGAUCGGGGAGAGGAGAGUGGAAUUCCCAGUGUAGAGGUGAAAUUCGUAGAUAUUGGGAAGAACACCGGUGGCGAAGGCGGCUCUCUGGACCGAUACUGACGCUGAGGCGCGAAAAGCGUGGGGGAGCAAAACAGGG
rnacentral:rRNA from 1 species